AUCUACAUAUUUUAAUAUAUAUGUUUAAUACAAAGAUAAUCAUAACAACUAAAUUUCAUUUCCAAAAAUGACAUAACAUACGAAUUUUAUAUCUCUUUAUAUAUAAAGAAGACUUUGAAUCACUUCCAAUCGAUUCAUCUCGGAUGCCAUGUCAUUAAUUAGUACUAUGCUGAUGUGACACCUGUCCUCAUUUAAUCGAAAGUGUAAUUGAUUUGGGCUUCAGUUUUUAUACAUGCUUUAUGUUCGGCUUAGUGGACCCAAACCGAAUAAAGAGCAACUCGAUAUUUAAUGAAACACGACGUUUUUGAUUUAGGGCUGAACCUGUUCAUCAUCUCCGCUGUACUAAAGCUAAACUCGAUCUAUGCUUUCGAAAGCGUUCUUUCAUCGCCUUCCUAAAAAUCCGAGAGGCAAUAGUUACAGGUUCAUCCUCUUAAAUUCGUUGCUUAAAUCCAUCACUCACGAUCUCUCUUCAAUGCGAUCUUUAAUCCUGGGAGGCUGUGGAAUUACAACUAUAAAAAGACUGGUUGCUGCUCUUCCACCGUUCAAGUGCGGUUGCUCUGUUAUUGGGAGGCUAGAAACGUCCAACGCGGUGAAGAACUCAUGGGAGUCGAUAUGUUGCUACUUAAUUACCAGGUUGUAAAGAAAUAUGAAGAUGUGAAAGUGAUUGUAGCGGGGGAUGACGAUUCUACCAUUUAAGCUUUGAGGUAGUUGUGUAUGUCUUGAGUAUUUUUUUUUCAACUAUGUGCUGCCCAUGUUGCUGUUAGAAGCUACGGUUUGAGCACUGCUAGCUUUAAUUUGUUAAUUCACCUCCUUGAUGAUAUCACCAAAAGAGUUUCUUUGUUACACUUUGAUUUUAAGUUUUGAAUUGAAGUAUGCAAUGUAUUAGAAACUAUGGUUUCGUAUGUUUGUGCUUCCUAUGUUGCCAUUAGAAGCUACUGUUUUUUCCUCCAACAUUAUAUAUCUCUUGGUCUAUUUCACUUUCACAUAAGCGAUAAGUUUGGACACUGCUAACUGUUAUUUGUUAACUCAUCUUUGAUGAUAUCACCCAGUCCCUAUCAUUACACUUUGAUUCUUAAGUUCUGAAUUGAAACAUGCACUGCAAGUGAAAGAAGAUCGAGCUCAUGUCAUUCACAAAAACUGUAGUAGAUGUGGUGCAGGAAGCAGACGCUUAUGGUGGCUAAAGCUGGGAGCAGCGACCGUCCUGCCAUUCCAGGCUUAAACAGCCCACCUUUCCUUCCUGUUGAGCUAUGCAGGGAAGCUAUGGUUCACAACUAAUUUAGAUUUUAGUAGUGAGCUAAGAUUGAUCAAUAUUUGAAGCUUUUUUAUGAACGCAUGGUGUGAUCAUCCAUGUGUCAUGCGAAGAAGCGUUACAAAAUACAAGGCUCUGUUUCCCGCAUUCGAUUUUCCAACUGUAAGAACAUCAUAUUGGUUAGAUCUGAUCAAUAUAUCUCUACUGAUAAUAAAUUGUUAGAAAGAUUCUUAUGCUUGCCUAUGUUGGAUUAGAUUGUAAUUGACGAUGAUAUUUUGUGAAAGCCGAGUCCAAGAGAGACCUCAGACUAAGUUGCAUCGAGAAGUGGAUACUAAAUACAUUUUUGUUCCUUUUUAGUUACUAAUUAUUUUUCCAUUGACUUCCUACAAGGUGUCUUGAGCUCUUACGGGGAGAAUUGUGUUAUGACAAUAAGAAAAAGUUGUGUAUACAGUAAGAGACCUAACGCACAAACCUGAAGAAAUGCAUCAAUGGUUUACUAAUAUACUAUGUAACAUUUUCAGCUUCAAAAAAAUUAUGAUAAAGUAGAUGAUCAAAUAUUAUAGUCUCUAAAUGCAUAAGACAUGCAUAAAAUAUUUCUUUUUUUAAUUGAUACUUUUUUGAUUCUAUACACUACCACACUGAUACGCUACUACAACUUGAGAAUUACAAGGUAAAGCUUCUCAAAUAUUCCCCACUAUUUUACACACAACAGACCGAGAUGUAUCACAAUUCACAAAAGAAAAAGAAACAUGACACUAGGUACUCAUACGUAAAUCAAACAGACUGCAUGCACCUCUCCACACCCCUCAAAAACAAAAACAAAAAUAAUAGUAAAACUAUCUGUAGCUCCAAUGUAAUAUUUGCAGUCAUUAUUUUUAUUCCAUCCUAAACAAAUGUUUUCAACGCUAAGAUAUGAAACAUGACCCGACUGUCUACUUGAAUUGUGUUAGCAUUUGAAAAUGAAGUAUAUUUUAUUUUGUUAUUUUUGUUAGAAAUCAUAAAUUCGUGUUAUGAUAGUAUUCGGGAGAUAAAUCUUUAGAACGACGGCUGACUGAAUUCAUUGGUUUUUAGCCAAAAAUACCAUGGAUUAUUUCUUAUUUUUGUAGGUUUAUUUACACUAACUAACUAUGGAUUAUUUCUUAUUUUUGUAGGUUUAUUUUCUGAAUUCAUUGGUUUUUAGCCAAAAAUAAUUUCUUCUCUAAAACAAAUAAUGAUUCAAGUGAUGCUGAGACUAACAAAUCAUAGAUUAGGUUCAAUGCAUUAGGUUUAAUGGACAAAGAAACUAACACAUUUAGGCGUAAGAACCUCAGCCUUUUUUUUUGGGUUUCAAAUAACAAUACUAAGAAGGUUUCUCAUGUCAUUUUUAGCUGUAUAAUUAGAAUUUGGUGAAGACAAUAAUCACUUAACAUAAUCACACUCACAACCAACUGAACAUAAAAAAAAUUACACAAUAUAAUAGUAUUUUUCAUAAAAAUCAACACAUCAAAUUCCGCGCGUAGCACGGGCUUGCACUAGUCCUUAUAUAUAAAAGAGACUUUUUCCCUUCUUCUCACAAGUGACAUGAGAGAAUUCUGACACUUUUCCCGCGCGAAAAUUCACUUUACAAAAUUCUGAAUACCAUACAAAAUUCAUGGUGCUUACCGUGUACAAUACUAUACAAUUUAACAAACCAAAUCCAAUACGAUACAAUUUAACAAACCAAACCAAUAUACAAUAUAUUGGUUUGCAUUUACACUAAAGAUAUACAAUAUACAAUAUACAAGAUUCUACGGCUUACCGCGAUGAAUAAAAAUUCUCGUGUACAAUACUAUACAAUAUACAAUACUAUACAAUAUACAAGAUAUUCACAAAUCAAAUACAAAUUCAGGGGAUCUAAGGAUAAAAUUCAACAGCUGACAUGAAUAAAAAAAAUUCAACUUACGAGAGAGAUGGAGAGGAUUAAGGGGAUCUCAGACAUGCUUCUUCUUCGUCUCUCCGAUUACGUUUGUAUUCAAUCAGAUGGGAGGUAGAGAUUUUAAUUCCUGGGUAUGGAGAGGAUUAAGGGGAUCUCAAGCAUGCUUCUUCUUUGUCUCUCCGAUUACGUUUGUAUCCGAUCAGAUAGAAGGUAGAGAUUCUAACUCCUGGGUAAUUACUUUGAUUGUGAUCUGAUUCUCUCAUUUCACAGUUUUUCUUCCUUUGCUUCCCCGAUUAGGUCAUGAGAUCUUUCCAACAAGAUUCGGCCUCCAGAAUCUACUUCCUCUUACAGGGCUUGGAUGAGAGACACUUGAAGCCUCCUCCUCUCCCACCCGUCGGUAUCAAGGCUUAUCAGCUUCGGGUCUCUCCUCCUCCUCCACCAUAUCUUCCUCUGCCUCCACGCCUUUCGACCCUAUCUCCAGACCAUAUCUGAGUGAUGUUGGGCUUUUGUUAUUCCUCAAACCUUUUUUUUUUAAUUUUAUUGACCAAUAAAAUAGAUUCUCAAUCUUCAUAUAAUUAUGGUUAGUGUGAAAAGAAUCAGAUAGUGCACAAUUAGAAGUAUUGGGCAAAAUUGCAAUAAUCUAAAAGAAGAACGUAAAAUGUAAAAAUAAUAAUUCAUAAGGAACACGUGUCAUCAAACAACGGCUGACAAUUGUUGGAAAGACAUCAAAAGAUCUCUUCACGGCAUACAUGUUGAAACACUUCCAUGUUACAUUGCCACUCUCAAAACAGUGAAAGCGACAAUCACAUGUUAUCCGGGCACAAAAACGGACAAUCACAUGUCAUCCGGGCACAAAAAUGAGUCGAUGCAAUUCAUGCUUUUUCUACAAGCAAAUGAGGAAAUUUGUACUUUUUUAUUAAAAUCUCCUUUUUAUUUAUAUUUAAAUAAUGGCAAAUGUUAGCCUCAGUUCCUACUCCAAAUAAUAAUUUAUGUUUGCAAUCAAUAAUAAAGUUAUUUUCCUGAGUACACUUAGUGGGAUAAAAUUAUAAACAUAUCUAUUGUGAUAUUAUAACUAAUAAUUGACUAGGUUUUAACGAAGACUAAUAAAAAAUACACCAUAUUAUUAUAUCAUACUAUUUUAUUAACUUAACAUUCUUUUGUUUGCAUUAUAUUUAACAUUCGACUAAAUUUAAAAAUCAUAUAAUAUUAUAUUAUAAGUGACCAUAGAAAAAUAUGACAUAUAAAAAGGACAACAAUUCUAAAAUAAAAAUAAAAAACAAAAAAAUAU